AUUGAACGCUGGCGGAAUGCUUUACACAUGCAAGUCGAACGGCAGCACGGGGGCAGCCCUGGUGGCGAGUGGCGAACGGGUGAGUAAUACAUCGGAACGUGCCCGGUCGUGGGGGAUAACGUAGCGAAAGUUACGCUAAUCCCGCAUACGAUCUGAGGAUGAAAGCGGGGGACCUUCGGGCCUCGCGCGAUCGGAGCGGCCGAUGUCAGAUUAGGUAGUUGGUGGGGUAAAGGCCUACCAAGCCGCCGAUCUGUAGCUGGUCUGAGAGGACGACCAGCCACACUGGGACUGAGACACGGCCCAGACUCCUACGGGAGGCAGCAGUGGGGAAUUUUGGACAAUGGGCGCAAGCCUGAUCCAGCCAUUCCGCGUGGAGGACGAAGGCCUUCGGGUUGUAAACUGCUUUUGUACGGAACGAAAAGGCUCUGGCUAAUACCUGGGGCUCAUGACGGUACCGUAAGAAUAAGCACCGGCUAACUACGUG
rnacentral:rRNA from 1 species